rnacentral:rRNA from 1 species
CUGGCGGCGUGCCUAACACAUGCAAGUCGAAACGAAGCAUACGGACCGGAGAUUCGUCGAAGGACCGUAUGACUUAGUAGCGGACGGGUGAGUAAUGUAUGAGCAACCUGCCUUUCAGAGGGGGACAACAGUUGGAAACGACUGCUAAUACCGCGUAACGUAUCGAGGGGGGCAUCCUCGUGAUACCAAAAGGAGCAAUCCGCUGAAAGAUGGGCUCAUAUCUGAUUAGCUUGUUGGCGGGGUAACGGCCCACCAAGGCGACGAUCAGUAGCCGGACUGAGAGGUUGAACGGCCACAUUGGGACUGAGAUACGGCCCAGACUCCUACGGGAGGCAGCAGUGGGGAAUAUUGGGCAAUGGGCGAAAGCCUGAACCCCAGCAACGCCGCGUGAAGGAAGAAGGUCUUCGGAUUGUAAACUUCUUUUAUGAGGGACGAAGGACGUGACGGUACCUCAUGAAUAAGCCACGGCUAACUACGUGCCAGCAGCCGC